UACCUGGUUGAUUCUGCCAGUAGUCAUAUGCUUGUCUCAAAGAUUAAGCCAUGCAUGUCUAAGUAUAAGCAAUCUAUACGGUGAAACUGCGAAUGGCUCAUUGGGUGGCCUUUCUGGAGCAUUAAAGGAGGAGGAACGUAUGAGAGCGGGACUCCUAGCAUGCGUUGCGGAUUUAAUCGCAGAGGUGGAAGUUGAACAAGGAGGCGAGAGGGGUGGGAGGGGCAACCCGCUUUGCCUUUGCU
rnacentral:ncRNA from 1 species